GUGCUUGCUUUGGUAGCACGGGUACUAAAAUUGGAAUGAUACAGGGAAGAUUAUCAUGGCCUCUGUGCAAGGAUGACAUACAAAUUCACGAAGUGUUCCAUACUAAA
ensembl:snRNA U6 U6 spliceosomal RNA